CCUAACCCAACUGAUGUUAGAGAAACUCCUCCUUCUCACUCCCUGCUGCUACCGCCGCCUCCAGCUCAGCGACGCCGUCCGCCGUCGCCUCCGGCGGCGCCCCCUCUUCUCUUCUCCGUCUCUCCCCCCCCCUGGCUCCUCUCUCUCUUUCUCCCCUUUAAAUCUCUCCCUCUCUCGGAUAUGUUAUGCCGCCGUCGCUGCUGUGAGCGCGGCGGCUCGCCGUCAAGGCCCUCGAUCUCUCCCUCUCGGAUUCCACCGCCGUCACUGUCAUGCACCACCUCAACUUUCGACGCCGCUGCAUCCAGCGGCCAACCACACCGCCUUCUCGCCGGAUUUCCGACAGUUACUGCUGUGGCUGUCGCCGGAAUCCGGACAUAACCUUUACCUCGAGACAAGUUUCUUAACUUUAAUAUUAUUAAAGAAAGACUUAGUUCAAAAGAAAGACUUGGUGGUGAACAAGCGCUUAAAUUAGGACUUAGUUUGCUUAUUUCAUGGAUUUUGGGGAACCUAAGCAUGCCAAAAGAAAGACUUGGUGGUGAACAAGCGCUUAAAUUUUAUGUUGAUUCAGGUUCUGAGUUCAAAAGUUUAUAUGAGUACCGAAUUAUAAAAGGAGAUUACCUUCUUAUUCUCCUAGGAAAAUUUGGUAUGUUGAGAGCUUCAUAUGUAUUCUCUUGCUUUGGGGGAGGAAGAGGACUGAAAGAUGGGAGUAUAGAUUUAUAUAUUCAUGGAUUUGGUCUUACACGUAUGAUAAUUAGCCGCCUUUCUCUUAUCAUUAUCAUACUAAUUAUAGUUGUAUCUUCUUUUUUUUCAUGGACGCAUGCAUGUACAUAUUUUAGUAAUCUACUCCGUAUAUUUUAUUUA